CCUACGGGAGGCAGCAGUAGGGAAUUUUCGGCAAUGGGGGGAACCCUGACCGAGCAACGCAGCGUGAACGAAGAAGUUAUUCUUAAUGUAAAGUUCUUUUAACAGGGAAGAAAGAGAAAUUUGACGGUACCUGAAGAAUAAGCUCCGGCUAACUACGUGCCAGCAGCCGCGGUAAUCAGUGGGGAGCGAGCGUUAUCGGGAUUUAUUGGGUUUAAAGGGUGCGUAGGCGGGGGCACAAGUCAGCGGGAAAAUCGCGGGGGUCAACCUCGCUGCGCCGUUGAAACUGGGUCCCUUGAGUGCGCGAAGGGUAGGCGGAAUUCGUGGUGUAGCGGUGAAAUGCAUAGAUAUCACGCAGAACUCCGAUCGCGAAGGCAGCCUACCGGAGCGCAACUGACGCUGAUGCACGAAAGCGUGGGUAUCGAACAGGAUUAGAUACCCUAGUAGUC
rnacentral:rRNA from 1 species